AUCAGCGGUGGCCUGGGGUACCU
rnacentral:miRNA from 1 species